rnacentral:ncRNA from 1 species
AAAAAAAUUAUUUAUGGUUUAAAAAGUUUAUUAAAAAUUUAUUUUGCAUAUAUAUAUUAGUUUAAAUUUUUAUUUAUUUUAAUAAUAAAUAAUUUAAAUUUGUAGUAAUUAACAUUAAAAAUUUAAGAAAUUAAGAUUUAGUAAUAUUUUAAAUUAAAAACAAAUUUUGUGCCAGCAGUUGCGGUUAAACAAAAUUUAAAUUAAAUUUUAUUAGUAAUUAAUAAAUAAAAAUUUAAAUUAAUUAAAUUUUAAAUUAUUAAGUGAAAUUUUAAUUUAAUUAAAAUUAAUUUAAAAAUUAUAAUUUAAUAAAUUUUAUAUAUAGACUAGGAUUAGAUACCCUAUUAUUAAAAAUUUAAAUUAAUAAUACUAAAAUAGUAUGUAAUUAUUUAUUGAAACUUAAAUAAUUUGGCGGUAUUUUAGUUUAUUUAGAGGAAUCUGUUUAAUGAUUGAUAUUCCACGAAUAAAUUUACUUAAUUUAUUAUUUUGUAUAUCGUUGUUAAAAAAAUAUUUUUAAAUAAAAAUAAUGUUUAAAAAUUUAUAAUUGAAAUUAAAUCAGAUCAAGAUGCAGAUUAUAAUUAAAGAAUAUAAUGGAUUACAAUAAAUUUAUUUAUUAAUUAAUAUUAAUUUGUAAAAAUUAAUUGAGAGUGGAUUUAAAUGUAAUUUUAUUUAAUUUAUUAAAAUGAUUUAAAAUUAAAAUAUGUACAUAUUGCCCGUCGCUUUCAUAAAUAAAUUGAAAUAAGUCGUAACAAAGUAGAGGUACUGGAAAGUGUUUCUAGAAAUAA